rnacentral:tRNA from 1 species
GGCUUAAAAAAUAUUUGAGUGCAAAUCAAAUGGUGGACUUGACGGUCCUAGGCCU